rnacentral:rRNA from 1 species
UACGUAGGGGGCGAGCGUUGUCCGGAGUUACUGGGCGUAAAGCGCUUGUAGGCGGUCCACCAAGUUUGGGGUGACAGUUGCCGACUUAAUCGGCAAAGUGCCUCAAAGACUGGCGGACUUGAGGGCCACAGAGGGACAUGGAACUCCAGGUGUAGUGGUGAAAUGCGUGGAUAUCUGGAAGAACACCAAAGGCGAAGGCAGUGUCCUGGGUGGUCGCUGACGCUGAGAGGCGAAAGCGUGGGGAGCGAACAGG